rnacentral:rRNA from 1 species
CCUCGGGAGGCAGCAGUGGGGAAUAUUGGACAAUGGGGGGAACCCUGAUCCAGCCAUGCCGCGUGUGUGAAGAAGGCCCUCGGGUUGUAAAGCACUUUCAGUGAGGAAGAACGCCUGGUGGUUAAUACCCAUCAGGAAAGACAUCACUCACAGAAGAAGCACCGGCUAACUCCGUGCCAGCAGCCGCGGUAAUACGGAGGGUGCGAGCGUUAAUCGGAAUUACUGGGCGUAAAGCGCGCGUAGGUGGCUUGAUAAGCCGGUUGUGAAAGCCCCGGGCUCAACCUGGGAACGGCAUCCGGAACUGUCAAGCUAGAGUGCAGGAGAGGAAGGUAGAAUUCCCGGUGUAGCGGUGAAAUGCGUAGAGAUCGGGAGGAAUACCAGUGGCGAAGGCGGCCUUCUGGACUGACACUGACACUGAGGUGCGAAAGCGUGGGUAGCAAACAGGAUUAGAUACCCGUGUAGUC